rnacentral:lncRNA from 1 species
AGUAACUUCCAUUCGGUAAACAGUUGUCUUUGAUACUUGGAUCAUCAUCCAUCCCUUUAAAAAAAGUCUCACAUAAUUUAAAAUUUAUAGACAGACACCAAUGUUAUAGUUAUAAAUUUGUGUAGUGUUCUUCAAUAACUAAAUAAGAAUGGAAGGAAACAUGGAAUCAACAGAAAAUGAAGAAAUUAAAUCUACUGCUGUUGUAAAGUAUUCUUUGCCCAAAUUGGCACAAUUUACAAAGUUACAGUGCAAUACUGAUUUAAAUUUACCCCCGUCAAAUUGGCUUAGCAGCUCUGCAGAUUCAUAUGGUUUACAGCAUGUUCUUACUCAUCCAAAAGGAUUUUCAAGGUAAAUAAUUGGUUAAUAGUUAGGUAGGUAGCUUUAUUAAGUAUAUGACUAAACAUAUAAAGAUCUAGGUAUUUAAAAAGUCUUUCGAUUAGGAGGAAAAAUUCCAACUUUUGAACAGCUUGACAACUUUUGUUUAUUACAGUAGUUUUUAGGGGUGCUCAUGCAGGACCAUCUCUAUCUGCUCUGACAGUCAAGCAGGGCUAAGGGAUUUGAAAUCGUCCAAAGUCAUCUCUAUGUUAGUUGAGUGCAAGAGAUCACUGGGCGAGUGCUGGCCAAUAGGGUUAACUUAGUGUGGGCUAACUUAUAGUGUGUGCAACGCUAAACUCGGCUUUGGAAAAGAACAAUAGUCGAAGUUAGUAUACAAUUUGAAAGAAAGUGAAGAAAGUAUAGAAUAGAGUAGAAGGAAGGAAGAAGAAUAGAAUAGAGCACCAGCUAAGUAGCUCGAAAAACAAGAGACUAAAAAGAAGGUGGGAUUCGAGGGCCAGAAAAAGGAAUAAAAUUAAAACAGAUUUCUUUCUGAAAUAAUUUGGCUGUGAAAGAAGGAGAGCUGGAAGAAUAAAACA